rnacentral:tRNA from 1 species
AAGGUGAUAGUUUAUAUUAUAAAAAACGUUAGUAUGUGGCCCUAAAGAAGAGAUGCUCUUACCUUA